rnacentral:SRP_RNA from 1 species
GCCAGGUGUGGUGGCGUGCGCCUGUAGUCCCAGCUACUUGGGAGGCUGAGGUGGGAGGAUCGCUUGAACCCAGGAGGUCGAGGCUGCAGUGAGCCCUGUGCACCACUGCACUCCAGCCUGGGUGACAGAGCAAGACUCUGUUUCAA